ACCUUGUCUAAAUAUGAUCAAGAAGAAGAAAAUUCAAUGAAGCGCGGGGUAAAUGGUGGGGAGUAACUAUGACUCUUAAGGUAGCCAAAAUGCCUCGUCAUCUAAUUAGUGACGCGCAUGAAU
rnacentral:ncRNA from 1 species